UACAGGGGUGCAAACGUUGCUCGGAAUUAUUGGGCGUAAAGCGCGCGUAGGUGGCCCGGUAAGUCCGCUCUGAAAGUCACAGGCUCAACCUGUGAAAGCGGGUGGAUACUGCCGGGCUAGAGUCCGGAAGAGGCGAGUGGAAUUCCUGGUGUAGCGGUGGAAUGCGCAGAUAUCAGGAGGAACACCAAUAGCGAAGGCAGCUCGCUGGGACGGUACUGACGCUAAGGCGCGAAAGCGUGGGAGCGAACGAGG
rnacentral:rRNA from 1 species